rnacentral:rRNA from 1 species
GUUGUGGGAGCAAGAGCCCGGAGAUGGAUUCUGAGACAUGAAUCCAGGCCCUACGGGGCGCAGCAGGCGCGAAAACUUUACAAUGCGGGAAACCGUGAUAAGGGAACCCCGAGUGCCCGUAGAAUCGGGCUGUUGAUCUGUGUAAAAAGCAGGUAAAGAAAGGGCCGGGCAAGACCGGUGCCAGCCGCCGCGGUAAUACCGGCGGCUCGAGUGGUGGCCACUAUUACUGGGCUUAAAGCGUUCGUAGCUGGGUUGUUAAGUCUCUUGGGAAAUCCACCGGCUCAACCGAUGGGCGACCAGGGGAAACUGGCAUUCUAGGGACCGGGAGAGGUGAGAGGUACUCCAGGGGUAGGAGUGAAAUCCUGUAAUCCUUGGGGGACCACCGAUGGCGAAGGCAUCUCACCAGAACGGCUCCUGACAGUGAGGAACGAAAGCUGGGGGAGCAAACCGGAUUAGAUACCCGGGUAGUCCCAGCUGUAAACUAUUC